rnacentral:rRNA from 1 species
UACGGAGGGGACUAGCGUUGUUCGGAAUUACUGGGCGUAAAGCGCACGUAGGCGGAUUUGUAAGUCAGGGGUGAAAUCCUGGAGCUCAACUCCAGAACUGCCUUUGAUACUGGAGAGCUUGAGUCCGGAAGAGGUGAGUGGAACUCCGAGUGUAGAGGUGAAAUUCGUAGAUAUUCGGAAGAACACCAGUGGCGAAGGCGGCUCACUGGUCCGGUACUGACGCUGAGGUGCGAAAGCGUGGGGAGCAAACAGG